GACGAACGCUGGCGGCGUGCCUAAUACAUGCAAGUCGAACGCUUCUUUCCUCCCGAGUGCUUGCACUCAAUUGGAAAGAGGAGUGGCGGACGGGUGAGUAACACGUGGGUAACCUACCCAUCAGAGGGGGAUAACACUUGGAAACAGGUGCUAAUACCGCAUAACAGUUUAUGCCGCAUGGCAUAAGAGUGAAAGGCGCUUUCGGGUGUCGCUGAUGGAUGGACCCGCGGUGCAUUAGCUAGUUGGUGAGGUAACGGCUCACCAAGGCCACGAUGCAUAGCCGACCUGAGAGGGUGAUCGGCCACACUGGGACUGAGACACGGCCCAGACUCCUACGGGAGGCAGCAGUAGGGAAUCUUCGGCAAUGGACGAAAGUCUGACCGAGCAACGCCGCGUGAGUGAAGAAGGUUUUCGGAUCGUAAAACUCUGUUGUUAGAGAAGAACAAG
rnacentral:rRNA from 1 species